ACAUCCAGAGAACUUAGCAGAGAUGCUUUGGUGCCUUCGGGAACUCUGAGACAGGUGCUGCAUGGCUGUCGUCAGCUCGUGUUGUGAAAUGUUGGGUUAAGUCCCGCAACGAGCGCAACCCUUAUCCUUUGUUGCCAGCGAUUCGGUCGGGAACUCAAAGGAGACUGCCGGUGAUAAACCGGAGGAAGGUGGGGAUGACGUCAAGUCAUCAUGGCCCUUACGGCCAGGGCUACACACGUGCUACAAUGGCGCAUACAAAGAGAAGCGACCUCGCGAGAGCAAGCGGACCUCAUAAAGUGCGUCGUAGUCCGGAUUGGAGUCUGCAACUCGACUCCAUGAAGUCGGAAUCGCUAGUAAUCGUAGAUCAGAAUGCUACGGUGAAUACGUUCCCGGGCCUUGUACACACCGCCCGUCACACCAUGGGAGUGGGUUGCAAAAGAAGUAGGUAGCUUAACCUUCGGGAGGGCGCUUACCACUUUGUGAUUCAUGACUGGGGUGAAGUCGUAACAAGGUAAGCGUACUACA
rnacentral:rRNA from 1 species